ACACGCAUGACACACUGCAUAUCAAUAAGCGGAGGAAAAGAGACUAACAAGGAUUCCCUUAGUAACGGCGAGUGAAGCGGGAAGAGCUCAAAUUUGAAAUCUUCAAGGGUUCUACCUUGACGAAUUGUAGUUUAUAAGAAGUGUUUUCUGUUAGUAGAGGUGGCUAAAAGUUCUUUGGAAUAGGACAUCAUAGAGGGUGAGAAUCCCGUAUUUGGUCAUUCUUUCUAGCUUUGUGAUACACUUUCAACGAGUCGGAUUGUUUGGGAAUGCAGUCCAAAAUGGGUGGUAAAUUUCAUCUAAAGCUAAAUAUUGGCGAGAGACCGAUAGCGAACAAGUACCGUGAGGGAAAGAUGAAAAGAACUUUGAAAAGAGAGUUAAACAGUACGUGAAAUUGUCAAAAGGGAAGCGCUUGACACCAGUGUUGUUUUUCUGAAAAUCAAUUAAAGAACUGUUUAUGCUAAGUUGUUUAGACUUUAUCAGCUAACUGUUUAGUUUUGAGCUUUUCUUUAAUGCACUUUUCAGUUAACAAGUCAACAUCAAUUUCUUUUGCUGUAAAAAAGCUUGAGGAAGGUGGCUUGAGAUUCGUCUUAAGUGUUUAUAGCCUCUUGCCUAUGCAGUCGGAGAGAUUGAGGUCUGCAGCGUAGAUCCUUCGGGGCUAAAUGCAUUUGUGCUAAGUUAUAGCAUUUUAUAGACAACUUGUUGACUAUGAUUUGUCUUGUAGCUUACUCGCUUAUGUUAUUUUACCUACGCUUAGGAUGUUGAUCUACAGAGCGAGAGU
rnacentral:rRNA from 1 species